rnacentral:ncRNA from 2 species
AGAAAAAUACCAUAUAUGGGUGUCCUUAGGGGACUUAAUAGGGAAGCCGGUGAAAGUCCGGCGCGGUCCCGCCGCUGUGACCGGGGACGAAACCCACUAAAGGCCACUGGGUGCUUUUAAGUACCUGGGAAGGUAUGGGGAGUAGGAAGAACCGGGAGCCAGAAGACCUGCCCAUAUAGAUAGCUUGCC